rnacentral:rRNA from 1 species
CUACAGGCUUAACACAUGCAAGUCGAGGGGCAGCAUGGUCUUAGCUUGCUAAGGCCGAUGGCGACCGGCGCACGGGUGAGUAACACGUAUCCAACCUGCCGUCUACUCUUGGACAGCCUUCUGAAAGGAAGAUUAAUACAAGAUGGCAUCAUGAGUCCGCAUGUUCACAUGAUUAAAGGUAUUCCGGUAGACGAUGGGGAUGCGUUCCAUUAGAUAGUAGGCGGGGUAACGGCCCACCUAGUCUUCGAUGGAUAGGGGUUCUGAGAGGAAGGUCCCCCACAUUGGAACUGAGACACGGUCCAAACUCCUACGGGAGGCAGCAGUGAGGAAUAUUGGUCAAUGGGCGAGAGCCUGAACCAGCCAAGUAGCGUGAAGGAUGACUGCCCUAUGGGUUGUAAACUUCUUUUAUAAAGGAAUAAAGUCGGGUAUGGAUACCCGUUUGCAUGUACUUUAUGAAUAAGGAUCGGCUAACUCCGUG